CAACAUGCAGCAGACAGACAUGAAUAGCAUUUCCAGCUCCCAGCCACAACUGAGCAGCGGCAGAAACUUACAUAGGACACCCGUGCUCGCCGGCGAUGUCCCAGCCCGCAGCACUGCAUGAAGAGGGGGCAGGACGCAGUCAGCGCGCGGCUCCUCCAAGCUGCCCCGUGUCCUCCGCACGGCCACUGCCCAUUGCGACCACCUUCAGCUCCCAGGUCCAAAGGGGAAAUAGAAGACUACAGGAAGAAAAGAAGAAUACCUUUGUGAUUAAGUGAGAAACCUAAGGAACAGAAAUAGAAGUAUGGCUGUUGAACUAAGACAAGUGUCCCGGCCUCCCUUGCAGCUUAGAUGGCCAUGUGACUAGCUUCUGGCCAAUGGGACAGAAGCAGAAAUGACAGGCGCUAACUCCCUAGUCAUGCCCUUAAACGGACCAGAACACGCCUUCCCUUCCCUUUUUCCCCUUUCUUGCUGGACUGAAAGUACAUGUACUGUUGAAGGAUGGAACAGGUGCUUAGAAAGAUAAAACAGCUGGUCACCCAGGCAGGAGAAUAUAGUAAAAGGUGAGACAGGACAGCCCAAAGGGAACAGCUGUGUCAGCCCAAGAUGGUUCCCUUUGGAGGGUAACAUGAGAGAGAAAUAAACUCCCAUACCAAUGAAGUCACAUAUGCUCUGAUCUCAGUAAAAGCUAAACCCGUAUGUUAGAAGUACCUCCAAGUAUUUGGGGGAUUAAUAAUUAAUUUAUAGAUUCCAAGACUGGAGGGGUGGGGGAAUCUGAGAGGGGCCAAAAGAAAAGAGAGUGAAGUCAGGAGCCCAGGCUGGGGCCAGACCAAAGGGUCCUGAUUCCACAGCGUAGAGUUUAGCUUGCGUCUAGCAGGACACACAAAGGUACUGAGGCCUUAAAGUGAGAAAAUACCUGUGGUUUAUUAAGACAUAAGAACACACACUCCAGAUUGUUUGGUCUAAAAAAAAAAAAAAGUUCA